rnacentral:misc_RNA from 1 species
GAAAUGCGAUAAGUAGUGUGAAUUGCAGAAUUCAGUGAAUCAUCGAAUCUUUGAACGCACAUUGCGCCCCUCGGUAUUCCGUGGGGCAUGCCUGUUCGAGCGUCAUCUACACCCUCAAGCUCUGCUUGGUGUAGGGCGUCUGUCCCGCCUCCUUCGCGCGCGGACUCGCCCCAAAUCCAUUGGCGGCGGCCCUUGCCUCCCUCUCGCGCAGCACAUUGCGCUUCUCGAGGCGCGGCGGACCGCGUCCAGCAAGCAACCGUCACACCGUCUUUGACCUCGGAUCAGGUAGGGAUACCCGCUGAACUUAAGC